GGAAGUAAGAGUCGUAACAAGGUUUCCGUAGGUGAACCUGCGGAAGGAUCAUUAAUGUGUUUGGGCCUCACGGCUCUUCAUUCCGACGCUGUGCGCCUCCGGGCUGCACGCUGAGGGAGCAUAUAUCCACCCCUGUGCACACACACGGUGGCGAGCUGGGUAACGGCUCGCCGCUGAUCUUUACACACGUCUAAAAGUCAUUGUAUGUUUAUUUGAGAUAAAAACACAACUCUCAGCAACGGAUCUCUUGGCUCUC
rnacentral:misc_RNA from 1 species